rnacentral:rRNA from 1 species
GACGAACGCUGGCGGCGUGCCUAAUACAUGCAAGUUGAGCGCUGAAGGUUGGUACUUGUACCAACUGGAUGAGCAGCGAACGGGUGAGUAACGCGUGGGGAAUCUGCCUUUGAGCGGGGGACAACAUUUGGAAACGAAUGCUAAUACCGCAUAAAAACUUUAAACACAAGUUUUAAGUUUGAAAGAUGCAAUUGCAUCACUCAAAGAUGAUCCCGCGUUGUAUUAGCUAGUUGGUGAGGUAAAGGCUCACCAAGGCGAUGAUACAUAGCCGACCUGAGAGGGGGAGCGGCCACAUUGGGAAUGAGACACGGCCCAAACUCCUACGGGAGGCAGCAGUAGGGAAUCUUCGGCAAUGGACGAAAGUCUGACCGAGCAACGCCGCGGGAGUGAAGAAGGUUUUCGGAUCGUAAAACUCUGUUGGUAGAGAAGAACGUUGGUGAGAGUGAAAAGCUCAUCAAGUGACGGUAACUACCCAGAAAGGGACGGCUAACUACGUG